rnacentral:rRNA from 1 species
UACAGAGGGGGCAAGCGUUGCUCGGAAUUAUUGGGCGUAAAGGGUAGGUAGGUGGUUACGUAUGUCUGGGGUGAAAUCCCUGAGCUUAACUCAGGAAGUGCCUUGGAAACGGCGUAACUAGAGUACUAGAGAGGUUCGUGGAAUUCCCGGUGUAGCGGUGAAAUGCGUAGAGAUCGGGAGGAACAUCAGAGGCGAAGGCGGCGAACUGGAUAGUAACUGACACUGAACUACGAAAGCGUGGGUAGCAAACAGG